GAGCUCUUGUGUGCCUCAGAGGCCUCGGUGAGUCAGGGCUCCAGCCCCACAGGAGAAUCAAAGAAUCCUGCUUUUGAGCCAUGAUGACAAAAUGAGCUAAUAUUUUGGUCACAGAAUGCCCUGUGUGCUGUCUUCCUGCCCACCCAGCACUAGUCCAGUGCACCUGAGGACAUGUUCAUUCUGCAGCACAAAGCUGCACCGGGCACAGCCACCUGGAUGCAGACACAGUGGAGAUGCGGUUACCUUCACCUUCACAGGGGCUUCCCAGGACUGAGGCAGAGAAUGUGGGAAGAAUGAGUUCAUGCAAGUGUCACACGAAAAGUACACUUGGUCCACCUAAGGUGUGAGUUUUACUUCCAUGAUGCUGUCUCCUGGAAACAAUGGCUUUCAAUGGAAC
ensembl:lncRNA